rnacentral:rRNA from 1 species
AUAGCGUAUAUUAAAGUUGUUGCAGUUAAAAAGCUCGUAGUUGGAUCUCGGGUCCAGGCUCGCGGUUCGUUUCGCGACGAUACUGCCCGUCCUGACCUACCUCCCGGUUUUGCCCCGGUGCUCUUCGCUGAGUGCCUCGGUUGGCCGGAACGUUUACUUUGAAAAAAUUAGAGUGCUCAAAGCAGGCAGUCUGCCUGAAUAACCGCGCAUGGAAUAAUGGAAUAGGACCUCGGUUCUAUUUUGUUGGUUUUCGGAACUUGAGGUAAUGAUUAAAAGGGAUAGACGGGGGCAUUCGUAUUACGGUGUUAGAGGUGAAAUUCUUGGAUCGCCGUAAGACGAACUACUG